GACGAACGCUGGCGGCGUGCCUAAUACAUGCAAGUCGAACGCAGUGGGGACGGGUGAGUAACCCGUUGGUAACCUCCCAUCAGAGGGGAUAACACUUGGAAACAGGUGCUAAACCGAUACUGAUGGAUGGACCCGCGGUGCAUUAGCUAGUUGAUGAGGUAACGACUACCCAAGGCCACGAUGCAUACCCGACAUAGAAGGGUGAUGAUCCACACGAGGACUGAGAAACAGCCCAGACUCCUACCAUGAUCACAAGUAUAAAAUCUUCGGCAAUGGACGAAAGUAUGACCGAGAAACGCCGCGUGAGUGAAGAAGGUUUUCGGAUCGUAAAACUAUGUUGUUAGAGAAGCGGUAUCUAACCAGAAAGCCACGGCUAACUACGUGCCAGCAACCGCGGUAAUAC
rnacentral:rRNA from 1 species